GGUCCUGACUAGCUCAACUGGUAGGGCAAGGCAUUGAUGUUGCCAGGGUUGGGGGGUCGUGUUCCCCUGGGACCA